rnacentral:lncRNA from 1 species
AUUACAUUAAAACUAUACUAAAAGAAUAGAAGAGAGGAUUUCAUCAGAAGGUUAGCUAAGAAUAGAAAAGCAAAGAAUGAUAACAAAGGUUUGUGGCUUGGGCUCUCUGUUUGAGCCAGCUGACUGUGAUUGACCAUUAAUUACAAACAACCGCACGAGACCAAUCACAGAUGCACCUGUUGCAUUCCCCAGCAGCAGAUAAUCAUUGUUUACAUUUUGUUCCUGAGGCUUUUCAGCUUCUCAGGAGGAAAAAUCUUAAGGAAAGGAUUUUGCAUGGAAUAUGUCUGUGACACCCAUCUCCCACCUGCACCUCCAAUGGGUCCACAGAGGGUGAGAAAUAGUGUGCACAAGAAACUGAAACACAGGAAGAUGAUUAAGUGAUGCUCAUGGAAGAUUUCCAUUUUUCUAUGGAAAAGUAGAAGAGUGCAGGGGCAGAGAAGCAUGGAAAUAAAAUGCUGGAGCCAAGCA